CUCUCUACCUUGUCUAUAUGUAGUCCCCUCUCUCUACCUUGUCUCUAUGUAGUCCCCUCUCUCUACCUUGUCUCUAUGAAGCCACCUCUCUCUACCUUGUCUCUAUGAAGCUCCUGUCUCUCUCCAACAGAGUCUUAUGUCCUCCUGCGUAUAUGGAAGAGGUGGUUGACCUUUGACCUUUCCUCCCCGUCGACUAGCAGUGAUGUCACACCGUCCUUGCUUUAUUAACACUCCCCAGAGGACCAAAGAGGACAGCAUGUAGACUGAAUACUUUUUUAAAGCUAUACUUGUGUGCUCAACACACAACACACUACAUUGCUAGCAUGGAAAGAGACUGAGCGAUAAGGAAACCAGGUCAUUACCAAGCCAACUCAACAAAUGUAGGGGUAUGUUGUCAUUGACCUGAGCCCUAGGACCAUGCCUCAGGACUACCUGACAUGAUGACUCCUUGCUGUCCCC